rnacentral:rRNA from 1 species
CGCCUGUUUAUCAAAAACAUCUCUUCUCGUUAGUUUUUGAAGUAUGGCCUGCCCACUGACCUUGAAUGUUGAAGGGCCGCGGUAUUUUGACCGUGCAAAGGUAGCAUAGUCAUUAGUUCUUUAAUUGUGAUCUGGUAUGAAUGGCUUGACGAGGCAUAAGCUGUCUUAAUUUUGAAUUGUUUAUUGAAUUUGGUCUUUGAGUUAAAAUUCUUAGAUGUUUUUAUGGGACGAGAAGACCCUAUAAAGUUUGACAUUUAUUAUGGUCUCUUUCUGUUUGUGAGGGUUCACUAAGGCUGUCUAAUAUGUUUUGUUGGGGUNAUGGGAGGGAUAUUAUUUAACCCCUCCUUUGGGUUGUUAUAUUUAUUUGUAUUUGCUUGAUCCAUUUAUUUUGAUUGUAAGAUUAAAUUACCUUAGGGAUAACAGCGUAA